CUUAGGGCUGAGGUCUCUGGUGAAGGCAGCCCUGCAAUCUAGAAGAAUGAGAGUGUUUCUGUUUCUGCUCUGUCUGGUGACAGCUCCAAAAGGUGUCCUGUCAGAGUUUAUGCUGCAGGAAUCAGGCCCAGGACUUGUGAGACCAUCAGGGACACUGUCUCUCACCUGUUCUGUCUCUGGAGAAUCCAUAUCCAGUAGUUAUGACUGGAGUUGGAUCCGUCAGCCAACAGGGAAGGGACUGGAGUGGAUUGGAUAUAUAUAUGGUGGUGGUAGUAGUACUAACUACAGUCCAUCUAUGAAGAAUCGAGCCACCAUCUCAAAAGACACAUCCAAGAAUCAGUUCUCCCUGAAGCUGAGCUCUGUGACAGCUGAGGACACAGCCAUGUAUUACUGUGCAAGAAACACAGUGAUGGGAAGUGAGUGUGAAUCUAAACAAAAACCAAUUAGCUGGGACUCAGGAAGGUUUGAUGGCUGGGAGGUGGCAUCCAUACCCCUAGGCUAUACUGAGAUCACUAUAUACAUUAAGUAAGUCAUAGAAGCAGGU